GCUGAUAUGGCCGAGUCGUUAAGGCGAGUGAUUUGAACCGCGUUACGGCGCGUCAAAUAUCACUUGGGCAUUGCCCGCGUAGGUUCAAAUCCUGCUGUCAGCG
rnacentral:tRNA from 1 species